GACGAACGCUGGCGGCGUGCCUAAUACAUGCAAGUCGAACGGUCUUUUCUAUGGAAGCUUGCUUCCACUGAGAAGAUAGUGGCGAACGGGUGAGUAACACGUGGGUAACCUGCCCAUAAGAGGGGGAUAACAUCCGGAAACGGGUGCUAAUACCGCAUAGGUUUCUUGGUCGCAUGAUCGAGAAAGGAAAGACGGCCUUUGUGCUGUCGCUGAUGGAUGGACCCGCGGCGUAUUAGUUAGUUGGUGAGGUAACGGCUCACCAAGACGAUGAGACGUAGCCGACCUGAGAGGGUGAUCGGCCACAUUGGGACUGAGACACGGCCCAAACUCCUACGGGAGGCAGCAGUAGGGAAUCUUCCGCAAUGGACGAAAGUCUGACGGAGCAACGCCGCGUGAGUGAAGAAGGUUUUCGGAUCGUAAAACUCUGUUGUCAGAGAAGAACAAGUCGGAGAGUAACUGCUCCGGCCUUGACGGUAUCUGACCAGAAAGCCACGGCUAACUACGUGCCAGCAGCCGCAGUAAUAC
rnacentral:rRNA from 1 species